GUCCCGUUCGUCUAGAGGCCUAGGACGCUGCCCUCUCACGGCGGUAACAGGGGUUCGAAUCCCCUACGGGAUACCA
rnacentral:tRNA from 1 species